rnacentral:tRNA from 1 species
GGUGGCUCAGUGGUAGAGUGUUUGCCUAACAUGCAUUAAGCCCUGGGUUCAAUUCCUCAGCACCA